CUGCUGCCUUCCGUAGGAGUUUGGUCCGUGUCUCAGUACCAAUGUGGGGGGUUAACCUCUCAGUCCCCCUAUGUAUCGUUGUCUUGGUGAGCCGUUACCCCACCAACUAACUAAUACAACGCAUGCCCAUCCAUUACCACCGGAGUUUUCAACCCAAGAAGAUGCCUCCCUGGAUGUUAUGGGGUAUUAGUACCGAUUUCUCAGUGUUAUCCCCCUGUAAUGGGUAGGUUGCAUACGCGUUACGCACCCGUGCGCCGGUCGCCGACAUAGA
rnacentral:rRNA from 1 species